AAAGGGAGACCUAAUUCCGGUAGGAGACGAAAAAAAAGUAGUCCCAACCAAGAAUCAAUCCCAAAAGGUCGGAACGAGGUAUGAGGCUUUCAAACUAGGUUCUGGGUUCAUAAAAGACCUGAAUCAGGAACAAGGGCUAUUAGCUCAGGUGGUUAGAGCGCACCCCUGAUAAGGGUGAGGUCCCUGGUUCGAGUCCAGGAUGGCCCACCUGCACAGGUGGCAAAAACAAAAGAAGCGAGGAAUCAGCACCUUAUCUUAUAUACAUAUAUAAGAGAGAAUGCUGGCUCUGAGUACAGAGUCCAGAGGAACCUUGAAAACUGCAUAGAGCUAGGUGAAAAAGCCAAAAAAGAAGACCGCAAG
rnacentral:tRNA from 1 species